rnacentral:rRNA from 1 species
GACGAACGCUGGCGGCGUGCCUAAUACAUGCAAGUAGAACGCAGUUGCGAACGGGUGAGUAACGCGUAGGUAACUGCCUCAUAGCGGGGGAUAACUAUUGGAAACGAUAGCUAAUACCGCAUACUGUGAGAUGGACCUGCGUUGUAUUAGCUAGUGGGUGAGGUAAAGGCUCACCAAGGCGACGAUACAUAGCCGACCUGGGAGGGUGAGCAUCCCCCCUGGGACUGAGACACGGCCCAGACGCCGACUAUAAUCAUCACUACAGAAUCUUCGGGAAUUGACGGAAGUCGGACCUAGCAACGCCGCGUGAGUGAAGAAGUUUUUCGGAUCCUCAAUCUCUGUUGUUAGAGAAGCGGUAACUAACCAGAAAGGGACGGCUAACUACGUGCCAGCAGCCGCGGUAAUUC